ACUGCUCAGUAACACGUCGAUAAUCUGCCCUUGGGUAAGGGAUAACCUUGGGAAACUGAGGCUAACACCUUAUAUGCGAAAGACACUGGAAGGUUCUUUCACUUAAAGGCAACGCCCAAGGAUGAGUCGGCGGCCGAUUAGGUAGUUGGGGGUUUAACGGACCACCAAGCCUAAGAUCGGUAGGGGCCUUGAGAGAGGUUGCCCCGAGAAGGGCACUGAGACACAUGCCCUAGCCCUACGGGGUGCAGCAGGCGCGAAAACUCUACACUACGCGAAAGCGUGAUAGGGGAAUCCUAAGUGCUUAUACAAUGUAUAGGCUUUUGCCAAGGGUAAGGACCUUGGAGAAUAAGUGGUGGGCAAGACUGGUGCCAGCCGCCGCGGUAACACCAGCGCCACGAGUGGGGAUCGUAUUUAUUUGGCCUAAAGCGUUCGUAGCCGGUCCUAUAAAUUUCCUGUGAAAUCGUUUGGCUCAACCUUACGGCGGGCAGGGAAGACUGUAGGACUUGGGACUGGGAGGAGUCAGAGGUAUUAGAUGGGGAGCAGUAAAAUGCUAUAAUCCAUCUAGGACCACCUGUGGCGAAGGCGUCUGACCAGAACAGAUCCGACGGUGAGGGACGAAAGCUAGGGGAGCAAUCCGGAUUAGAUACCCGAGUAGUCCUAGCUGUAAACGCUGUGAGCAAGGUGUUGCACAUUCCUCGUGGAUGUGCAGUGUCGAAACGAAGGUGUUAAGCUCACCGCCUGGGGAGUACGGCCGCAAGACUGAAACUUAAAGGAAUUGGCGGGGGAGCA
rnacentral:rRNA from 1 species